rnacentral:rRNA from 1 species
UACGUAGGGAGCAAGCGUUGUCCGGAAUCAUUGGGCGUAAAGCGCGCGUAGGUGGCUUCGUAAGUCCGUUGUGAAAGUCAGAGGCUCAACCUUUGAAUGCCGAUGGAUACUGCGGAGCUAGAGUACGGAAGAGGCGAGUGGAAUUCCUGGUGUAGCGGUGGAAUGCGCAGAUAUCAGGAGGAACACCAAUAGCGAAGGCAGCUCGCUGGGACGUUACUGACACUAAGGCGCGAAAGCGUGGGGAGCGAACAGG